rnacentral:rRNA from 1 species
UACGUAGGGAGCAAGCGUUGUCCGGAAUCAUUGGGCGUAAAGCGCGCGUAGGCGGCCUCAUAAGUCCGUUGUGAAAGUCAAAGGCUCAACCUUUGAAAGCCGAUGGAUACUGUGAGGCUAGAGUCCGGAAGAGGCGAGUGGAAUUCCUGGUGUAGCGGUGGAAUGCGCAGAUAUCAGGAGGAACACCCGUGGCGAAGGCGGCUCUCUGGGACGGUACUGACGCUGAGACGCGAAAGCGUGGGGAGCGAACAGG